rnacentral:rRNA from 1 species
CACGUAGGGUGCAAGCGUUGUCCGGAAUUAUUGGGCGUAAAGCGCGUGUAGGCGGCUUUGCAAGUCGGGUGUGAAAGCCCUCAGCUUAACUGAGGAAGUGCGCCCGAAACUGCAGAGCUUGAGUACCGGAGAGGAUGGUGGAAUUCCCCAAGUAGAGGUGAAAUUCGUAGAUAUGGGGAGGAACACCGGUGGCGAAGGCGACCAUCUGGACGGAUACUGACGCUGAGACGCGAAAGCGUGGGUAGCAAACAGG